UAACAGGAAAUUUAAGGGCGUACGGUGGAUGCCUUGACUUUAAGAGGCGAUGAAGGACGUGGCGUAGCUGCGAUAAGCUUCGGGGAGGUGUGUAGCAACCUUUGAUCCGGAGAUUUCCGAAUGGGGAAACCCUGUCGAGUAUACCUCGACAACUUUUGUCUUUAUGGCAAAUAGAGCGCACCCUGGGAAGUGAAACAUCUCAGUACCAGGAGGAAAAGAAAAAAAUUUUAUUUCCCCAGUAGCGGCGAGCGAAAAGGAAGAAGCCCAAACUGUUUUGUCGAAGACAAAACUACGGAUCAACUCUGAUUUGGACUGAUCAACUCUGAUAUUUUUAUCGAUGUUGAUCUGAUUUUUAUCAGUGAAUAUCAGUAGUUUCGCCUUCGGCGAAACUACUGAUAUUCACUGAUAAAAAUCAGAUCAACA
rnacentral:ncRNA from 1 species